UCCCCAAUAUAAAUACAACAACACUCACAACCAGACCCUCCCAAAGCCGCUAUCACUUCCUCUCUUUCUGCACAGCCUUCUCUGCACAUCUAGGAUUUCUGAAGCUAGUUUCAUUUCUGCCACACCAUGAGGGCCAAGUGGAAGAAGAAGCGCAUGAGGAGGUUGAAGAGGAAGCGCCGAAAGAUGAGACAGAGAUCCAAGUAGAAGCAGUCAUCGAUCGACGUUCAGCUCGGCCGGAAUUUCGUUUGUUUUCGUGUUUUUCUAAUCAAGUAAUCAGCAUCGAUUAGUUCAGUUGUAGAAGAACCUUUUUCUAUAAAUUUGUACUGUUUGAACACAUUUGCUGCUU